UACUUCCAAGAGGGAGCUGCAGUGAGGACACAGCCUGGUCACUGAGGUCAGAGGAGGUGCUGAAAGGUUUCCCUAAUAGUUCCUGGUGAAUCAAAGCAGAACCAUAAAGGUUGCUGGACUGCAUGAUGGCCUUACCCCAGAGCAGUCAUCCUGUUAAAGGAGGAACCAGUUAGAAGCUGUUUUCAAAGUAGCUGAGCAGAUUUCAUCUCAACAGACAAAGCCGAUGGCAGAAGAUGUUUGGAGAAGAACUUCAGGCCGUGUACUGACAAGAUCAAAGCAGCUCGUGCUCUUUCUGCUUCCAUUUUGAUGGCAAGAAGAAGAAGAAGAAGAAG